GCCAGGGUGCCAUAGUCAGGUAUUGGGCUCGCCUUAGGAGCGAGUGCCCACGGGCAACGCGGGUUCAAAUCCCGCCCCUGGCG
rnacentral:tRNA from 1 species